UUUAUACUCCCUCCGUCCCAUAUUAAUAGAUAUUACAUGUAUUUAGACAUAUUUUAGUAUAUAGAUACGCCCAUAUUUAGACAAAUUUGAGUCACUUAAUAUGGGACGGAGGGAGUAGCAG
rnacentral:pre_miRNA from 1 species